rnacentral:rRNA from 1 species
GACGAACGCUGGCGGCGUGCUUAACACAUGCAAGUCGAACGGAAAGGCGCGGAUUUUGCUGGGUGCUCGAGUGGCGAGCGGGUGAGUGAAACAUGAGGAAACUGCACCUAAAUUUGUGAGAACUCUAGGAAAAUGGGGCUCAUACCGGAGAUGAGCUCCUGAUGCAUGUGGGGCGUUGGAAAGUGUCGGCGGUUGGGGAUGGUAUCGCGGCUUAUGAGCUUGUUGGGGUGGUAGGGGCUUACAAAGGCUUUGAAGGGUAGCCGGCAUGAGAGGGUUACCGGCCACAUUGGGACUGCGAUACGGCCCAGACUCCUACGGGACGCAGCAGUGGGGAAUAUUGCACAAUGGGCGGAAGCCUGAUGCAGCAACGCCGCGUGCGUGAUGACCGCCUUCGGGUUGUAAACCGCUUUCGCCGGUGCCGAAGCGUGAGUGACGGUAAUGGGUAAAGAAGCACCGGCUAACUACGUG